GUCCAGACUCCUACGGGAGGCAGCAGUGGGGAAUAUUGCACAAUGGGGGGAACCCUGAUGCAGCGACGCCGCGUGGGUGAAGGAGCACCUCGGUGCGUAAAGCCCCAUCGGCAGGGAAGAAACAGACGGUACCUGACUAAGAAGCCCCGGCUAACUACGUGCCAGCAGCCGCGGUAAUACGUAGGGGGCAAGCGUUAUCCGGAUUUACUGGGUGUAAAGGGAGCGUAGACGGCUGUGCAAGCCAGAUGUGAAAGCCCGGGGCUCAACCCCGGGACUGCAUUUGGAACUGUGUGGCUGGAGUGUCGGAGAGGCAGGCGGAAUUCCUAGUGUAGCGGUGAAAUGCGUAGAUAUUAGGAGGAACACCAGUGGCGAAGGCGGCCUGCUGGACGAUGACUGACGUUGAGGCUCGAAAGCGUGGGGAGCAAACAGGAUUAGAUACCCUCGUAA
rnacentral:rRNA from 1 species